AAGGGAACAACCUAGAAGGAGUCAGUUGGUCUUCUCUCUUGACUUGAGACUCCUGAGAAGAAGGUCAAUAUCUGACUGGAUCCCAAUAUCAAACCACAAGGAAGCCAGAGAAAUGCUGGAAUCUCACUUCCUGUCCCAGGUAGACCAACAUAGAGCCAUACGUGUGAAGAGGUCUGAAGCUAGUAGCCCAUGCUUUAUCUCUUGAAUUAAUUGUCCUCAAGUCAAACAAACCAUGGUGGGAGGAAUGCUCCAGCAGGAUUUUAGGAUCUUGGGUUGAGGAAUCCCACAAUAUCAUAAUAGAAUCUUAUCCUGUGAAUCCUUUCCAAUGCGAAACAUAAAGGACAACAUAAAUAAAAAUAUGGUUCCAUGUUGUGUUUGUUUUGUUUAUUGACCUGGCAUCUGAGGAAGCUGAAUUUGAUAGCUCCUAAGAAUUCAAUAAGCGUUUAAAAAAGUGAUUACCAGUGAAAGGUUCUAUGUUAGGUCCUGGGACUAAAGGAUAAAAUGAAAAACAAUCCCAGUCCCCAAAGAUCUUGAAUUCUCCUGGCAGUAUACAAUACAUACUGUACAUGAUCAUGUGGUAAAGAAGCAUCCUAUUGUACCAAGUCAAGCUGCUAUCAUCUCUUCCAUUCCAAGUCAAGCAAGAUAUUUCACUGUGGUAGAUUUAUGCUCAGUGUUUUUCUCAAUGCUGAUUGAAGUGGAUUCUCAAAAGAUCUUUGCUUUUACCUGGGAGAAAACUCAGUGGACGUGGACUUGUCUUCCACAGGGAUUCACUGAGUCCCUAAGCCAGUUCUGACAAAUUUCAAAUAGAGACCUUAAAACUAUAAUAUUCAAAGAGAGUAAAAUAGUACAUUUUUGAUAAUAUUCUCCUAGCAUCGCCAUCUGUGUGUUUAAGAGAUAGCAAGAUUCUUUUGAUUGAAUUAUACAAACUUGGGCAUAAAAUUUCCAAGACAAAAUUAGAGUGGGUUUUGCCUUGAGUUUGAAUAUCUUGUGUUUGUGUUGUCAGAGGGAAACAUAUAAAAAUAUUGAUUUUAUUAAUAGGAAAAGGAAUAAAGGGUUUGGGAAUAGAAGGAAGGGAAAGGUAACUGUUAACACUUAUUCCAGAUAUUAAAGCCUCUAAUACCUAUCCUAAAAUCUAAAUAACUAAGCUUCUUAAAGUUAAGUCCAACAGGGUAACGGAAUCUCACACAUAAGAGUCCUUGAUGAACCAGGAAUCCUAAUUGAUGUUCACAGAUGCUCCCAGCAGUGUUGAGGUCUUUCUCCAGUCAGCCUGUCUAGCAGGCUGAUCAGAUAUACUCUCUCAUCCCAACUGAAAUCCUCAAAGGCCAGUUGUUGAUGGAUGAUCAGGAUCUUUUUAGCCAUACACCUUACUCCUUCUCCUGCUCCUCCCUGAGAGAGAAUGGCAGUUGGGAACCCCACCCCUCUCAACUGCUUGGAACCUUGACUCAGUAGGCUCAUGGGAUUCUAAGUCCUGCCAAUCAUUUGCAAUUGCUACAUUUCCUUGAUACAACACUCAUAAUGAGUAUAAAAACAGGGUGUCCCAAAAGUCUUAGUGAAGUUUUACUCCCUGAAAACUACACUAAGACUUUUGAUACAGUCAAUAUAUACAAAACUUCAGGAAGUAGAAAGCUUAACACAUGGGGAUAAUAAAAGGAUUUUUUUUUAGAGGUAAUACUUGACUAUUUAGAAAACUUAGCAUGAAAACUUAGCACAAAUUCUUGACAAAAUGGAGGCUACUACUUUUAAAAACCCAGUCAAUACAUUUUUUGGGGGGGGAAGGUAGAAGAAUGAGUUGACUCACAGAAAUGGAAGGGAUGGGUACUGUUACUGAUGAAGUAUAACAUUAAAAAAUAUCUAUAAAGAUAAUUAAUGAUGAAGAAGCCUUGGAUAAGACUGAGUUAGCUUAUUUAUUUAUUUUUAUUGUUUAAACUUAAGAAAUUAAUGGAGCAAAUAUUUAAAAUACUGAUCAAGGAGGGAGCUGGGUAGCUCAGUAGAUAGAGAGCCAGGCCUAGAGAUGGGAGGUCCUAGGUUCAAAUUUGGCCUCAGAAACUUUCCAGCUAUAUGACCUGGGCAAGUCACUUGACCCCCAUUGCCUAGCCCUUACCACUCUUCUGCCUUGGAACCAAUACAUAGUAUUGAUUCCAAGAUGAAAGGCAAGGGUUUUUAAUUUUAAAAAAUACUGAUCAAACUUAAAAGUACAGAUUAAACAAAAAAAAUUGUUAAACAUUUACUGAGUUAGCUUUUGAUUUAAUCUUUCAGCUUGCAGAAAAACAUUCUUGUCCUUCUAAGGAGUUACACAAUUGAAUAUCCCCCCCCCCCCUUUUUUAAGGAAACAUGUGAGAAGAUAAAUGAACAAGCUGAA